AGAGAAGCUUGCUUCUCUUGAGAGCGGCGGACGGGUGAGUAAUACCUAGGAAUCUGCCUGAUAGUGGGGGAUAACGUUCGGAAACGGACGCUAAUACCGCAUACGUCCUACGGGAGAAAGCAGGGGACCUUCGGGCCUUGCGCUAUCAGAUGAGCCUAGGUCGGAUUAGCUAGUUGGUGAGGUAAUGGCUCACCAAGGCGACGAUCCGUAACUGGUCUGAGAGGAUGAUCAGUCACACUGGAACUGAGACACGGUCCAGACUCCUACGGGAGGCAGCAGUGGGGAAUAUUGGACAAUGGGCGAAAGCCUGAUCCAGCCAUGCCGCGUGUGUGAAGAAGGUCUUCGGAUUGUAAAGCACUUUAAGUUGGGAGGAAGGGCAUUAACCUAAUACGUUAGUGUUUUGACGUUACCGACAGAAUAAGCACCGGCUAA
rnacentral:rRNA from 1 species